rnacentral:rRNA from 1 species
UGGGGAAUCUUCCGCAAUGGACGAAAGUCUGACGGAGCAACGCCGCGUGAACGAUGACGGCCUUCGGGUUGUAAAGUUCUGUUAUACGGGACGAAUGGUACGACGGUCAAUACCCGUCGUAAGUGACGGUACCGUAAGAGAAAGCCACGGCUAACUACGUGCCAGCAGCCGCGGUAAUACGUAGGUGGCAAGCGUUGUCCGGAAUUAUUGGGCGUAAAGGGCGCGCAGGCGGCGUCGUAAGUCGGUCUUAAAAGUGCGGGGCUUAACCCCGUGAGGGGACCGAAACUGCGAUGCUAGAGUAUCGGAGAGGAAAGCGGAAUUCCUAGUGUAGCGGUGAAAUGCGUAGAUAUUAGGAGGAACACCAGUGGCGAAAGCGGCUUUCUGGACGACAACUGACGCUGAGGCGCGAAAGCCAGGGGAGCAAACG